UCGCUAGUAAUCGCGGAUCAGAAUGCCGCGGUGAAUACGUUCCCGGGUCUUGUACACACCGCCCGUCACACCAUGGGAGUCGGAAAUGCCCGAAGUCUGUGACCCAACCUACGGGAGGGAGCAGCCGAAGGCAGGUCGGAUGACUGGGGUGAAGUCGUAACAAGGUACC
rnacentral:rRNA from 1 species